rnacentral:rRNA from 1 species
GACGAACGCUUGCGGCGUGCUUAACACAUGCAAGUCGAACGGAAAGGCCCUGCUUUUGUGGGGUGCUCGAGUGGCGAACGGGUGAGUAACACGUGAGUAACCUGCCCUUGACUUUGGGAUAACUUCAGGAAACUGGGGCUAAUACCGGAUAGGAGCUCCUGCUGCGUGGUGGGGGUUGGAAAGUUUCGGCGGUUGGGGAUGGACUCGCGGCUUAUCAGCUUGUUGGUGGGGUAGUGGCUUACCAAGGCUUUGACGGGUGGCCGGCCUGAGAGGGUGACCGGCCACAUUGGGACUGAGAUACGGCCCAGACUCCUACGGGAGGCAGCAGUGGGGAAUAUUGCACAAUGGGCGGAAGCCUGAUGCAGCAACGCCGCGUGCGGGAUGACGGCCUUCGGGUUGUAAACCGCUUUCGCCUGUGACGAAGCGUGAGUGACGGUAAUGGGUAAAGAAGCACCGGCUAACUACGUGCCAGCAGCCGCGGUGAUACGUAGGGUGCGAGCGUUGUCCGGAUUUAUUGGGCGUAAAGGGCUCGUAGGUGGUUGAUCGCGUCGGAAGUGUAAUCUUGGGGCUUAACCCUGAGCGUGCUUUCGAUACGGGUUGACUUGAGGAAGGUAGGGGAGAAUGGAAUUCCUGGUGGAGCGGUGGAGUGCGCAGAUAUCAGGAGGAACACCAGUGGCGAAGGCGGUUCCCUGGGCCUUUCCUGACGCUGAGGAGCGAAAGCGUGGGGAGCGAACAGGCUUAGAUACCCUGGUAGUCCACGCUGUAAACGGUGGGUACUAGGUGUGGGGUCCAUUCCACGGGUUCCGUGCCGUAGCUAACGCUUUAAGUACCCCGCCUGGGGAGUACGGCCGCAAGGCUAAGACUCAAAGGAAUUGACGGGGCCCCGCACAAGCGGCGGAGCAUGCGGAUUAAUUCGAUGCAACGCGUAGAACCUUACCUGGGUUUGACAUGGAUCGGGAGUGCUCAGAGAUGGGUGUGCCUCUUUUGGGGUCGGUUCACAGGUGGUGCAUGGCUGUCGUCAGCUCGUGUCGUGAGACGUUGGGUUAAGUCCCGCAACGAGCGCAACCCUUGUUCACUGUUGCCAGCACGUUAUGGUGGGGACUCAGUGGAGACCGCCGGGGUCAACUCGGAGGAAGGUGGGGAUGACGUCAAGUCAUCAUGCCCCUUAUGUCCAGGGCUUCACGCAUGCUACAAUGGACGGUACAAAGAGCUGCAAGACCGCGAGGUGGAGCUAAUCUCAUAAAACCGUUCUCAGUUCGGAUUGUAGGCUGCAACUCGCCUACAUGAAGCUGGAAUCGCUAGUAAUCGCGGAUCAGCAUGCCGCGGUGAAUACGUUCCCGGGCCU